ACUCCUGCGGGAGGCAGCAGUGGGGAAUAUUGCACAAUGGGCGCAAGCCUGAUGCAGCCAUGCCGCGUGUAUGAAGAAGGCCUUCGGGUUGUAAAGUACUUUCAGCGGGGAGGAAGGCGAUAAGGUUAAUAACCUUGUUGAUUGACGUUACCCGCAGAAGAAGCACCGGCUAACUCCGUGCCAGCAGCCGCGGUAAUACGGAGGGUGCAAGCGUUAAUCGGAAUUACUGGGCGUAAAGCGCACGCAGGCGGUCUGUCAAGUCGGAUGUGAAAUCCCCGGGCUCAACCUGGGAACUGCAUUCGAAACUGGCAGGCUAGAGUCUUGUAGAGGGGGGUAGAAUUCCAGGUGUAGUGGUGAAAUGCGUAGAGAUCUGGAGGAAUACCGGUGGCGAAGGCGGCCCCCUGGACAAAGACUGACGCUCAGGUGCGAAAGCGUGGGGAGCAAACAGGAUUAGAAACCCCUGUAGUCCCAUG
rnacentral:rRNA from 1 species